GGUGGUCUCAUCCAAUCUCCUGGCUUUUUAUGCUGAGUACUCCCAAAUCAUGUCUCCAUUAUGAACUUCUCCUUGGGGUCCCAACUUGUGUAUAACUGCUUAUCUGAUACGUCUAAUUAUGUGUCUAACAGGAACCUUACCCUUAAUAUGUCCAAAACAUAAUUCUCUAUGUUGUUCUCUAUGUUGUUUGCUCCACAAACAAUAUACUAUUUUUCCCUGCCCUAUCGUCCCCCAACUCAGCCAAAGGCACAUCAUCUACUUUACUGCUCAAGAACUCGGCCCAUUAUUGCCUCUGCUUGAAGACUCCCUGAGCUUCCAGAUCUCCGCUUAAAGAUCAUUUCUUCAGACUCCACUAUCUCCCAACUCAGCAUCCAGUUCGUUUCCUCCCAGCACUUACAAUCUGCGUACAUUCAGGCACACCACCUAGCACUGGAGUUGGUGUUUGUGAAACAGCACAGACAGGCUGAUCAGGCCGAGCACGGACUGGGAUUCUAGAGUGAAGCCAGUCCAAUCUAACCUAGCACGCAGGGCAACGUGGUGGCAGAGAGGUCGGCGCCCCGCCCUUCUUGCCAGGCUCCCGUCAGUCCCAAACUCCUAGCCCAGAAACAGGCCACAGGAGACUGCCCAGUGGACAACAGCCCCGAGAGACAUUCCCGACUUCCAGCGCCCGGCAGGGUGCGAACCCCUCCCAGGAGCGACCGCUGAGCCUGCCACACUCACCGUACACGUGGGACAGAGGCAGCACGCGCAGCGGAUGCCGACAGCCGCCCCGCUUCCGCUUCCUUGCCUUGCUCCGCCCCCCGGCCGCUUUUCUUCAUCUUCCGCGGCGGGUCAGGGACUAAGAGGUGGGGCUUACCAGACAAUACAAAAAUUCGGAAUUUCUAUUGGUCCGCUGCUGUUAUGCCGCCUCUUGAGACGCGAGGAUUUUGGCCCUAGAAAGAAUCCGUCGGGCACAGGACGCGACAACGGCCACAGGACGCGACAACGGUCACGGGAGAAUGACGUCAUUAACCCUGCCGCUUCCGUGCUGGAAAAAAAAAGGAGAGCUCUUGCGGGGCAGAACAGGCUGGUGAAGGAGAGGGUUGGCUGGCGCGGUUCGUAAGAGGCCUGAAUCCGGUAGCCUGAACAAAUAUUGAAGUAGCUAAAGUUUCUAAACUGCGUGGCUCUGGGAAAAUUACACAAUGUUUCUGAGCCUUGGCUUCCUGAUCAAUAAAAGAGAAAUAAGUUUUAACAUGCAAAGCGCUUAGCAUGGAACGCUCUCAAUAAAUGUUUGCCAUUUUUAA